AGGACGAACGCUGGCGGCGUGCCUAACACAUGCAAGUCGAACGAGUCCAGGAUUUCGGUCCUGAGGCGAGUGGCGGACGGGUGAGUAACACGUGAGUAAUUUGUCUCUGUGUGGGGGACAACCCGGGGAAACCCGGCUAAUACCGCAUGGGCAGGCACCUCUGAUGGGGAGCCUGGGAAAGACGGCCUCUUUACAAUGCUGUCAUGCAGAGAGAAGCUCGCGGCUAUCAGCUAGUUGGUGCGGUAACGGCGCACCAAGGCAUCGACGCUACGGGGUCUGAGAGGACGACCCCGCACAUUGGAACUGAGACACGGUCCAGACUCCUACGGGAGGCAGCAGUGGGGAAUUUUGGGCAA
rnacentral:rRNA from 1 species